rnacentral:rRNA from 1 species
AGCGAACGCUGGCGGCAGGCCUAACACAUGCAAGUCGAACGAACCCCUCGGGGUUAGUGGCGGACGGGUGAGUAACACGUGGGAACGUGCCUUUAGGCUCGGAAUAACUCAGGGAAACUUGUGCUAAUACCGAAUGUGCCCUUCGGGGGAAAGAUUUAUCGCCUUUAGAGCGGCCCGCGUCUGAUUAGCUAGUUGGUGAGGUAAUGGCUCACCAAGGCUACGAUCAGUAGCUGGUCUGAGAGGAUGACCAGCCACAUUGGGACUGAGACACGGCCCAAACUCCUACGGGAGGCAGCAGUGGGGAAUCUUGCGCAAUGGGCGAAAGCCUGACGCAGCCAUGCCGCGUGGAUGAUGAAGGUCUUAGGAUUGUAAAAUCCUUUCACCGGUGAAGAUAAUGACUGUAGCCGGAGAAGAAGCCCCGGCUAACUUCGUGCCAGCAGCCGCAGUAACAC